rnacentral:rRNA from 1 species
UGGGGAAUAUUGCACAAUGGGCGAAAGCCUGAUGCAGCGACGCCGCGUGCGGGAUGAAGGCCUUCGGGUUGUAAACCGCUUUUGAUUGGGAGCAAGCGAGAGUGAGUGUACCUUUCGAAUAAGCACCGGCUAACUACGUGCCAGCAGCCGCGGUAAUACGUAGGGAGCAAGCGUUGUCCGGAUUUACUGGGUGUAAAGGGUGCGUAGGCGGUUCUGCAAGUCAGUUGUGAAAACUAUGGGCUUAACCCAUAGCCUGCAAUUGAAACUGUGGGACUUGAGUGAAGUAGAGGUAGGUGGAAUUCCCGGUGUAGCGGUGAAAUGCGUAGAGAUCGGGAGGAACACCAGUGGCGAAGGCGGCCUACUGGGCUUUAACUGACGCUGAAGCACGAAAGCAUGGGUAGCAAACAGGAUUAGAUACCCUGGUAGUCCAUGCCGUAAACGAUGAUUACUAGGUGUGGGGGGUCUGACCCCUUCCGUGCCGGAGUUAACACAAUAAGUAAUCCACCUGGGGAGUACGACCGCAAGGUUG